rnacentral:rRNA from 1 species
UACGUAGGGAGCAAGCGUUGUCCGGAAUCAUUGGGCGUAAAGGGUGCGUAGGCGGCGCGGUAAGUCGGGUGUGAAAUCUCGGGGCUUAACUCCGAAACUGCAUUCGAUACUGCCGUGCUUGAGGACUGGAGAGGAGACUGGAAUUUACGGUGUAGCGGUGAAAUGCGUAGAUAUCGUAAGGAAGACCAGUGGCGAAGGCGGGUCUCUGGACAGUUCCUGACGCUGAGGCACGAAGGUCAGGGGAGCAAACGGG